CAGGGGUGCAUGGGCGGCAUCGGCGCGCUGGCAGUGGCGUCCGGAAGCUGUGAGGCCUUUCCCUUUUCGUCCGUUUCCCUUUUCCUUCUGCGAUAGGAGAGACUGGGGGAGACUUAGUGUACCCGCUCCAAAUUUCGACUGCCCAGGUGCAACUCUACUAUUUGAAAGGAACCUUUCAAUUUACAAGCUGUCUAUUUCUUCUCCUUCUUUCUGAUGAUUCUGCUGAAUCUGAAGAGUCACCAGAAGUAACACCUGAAGAAAUACCAGCACUUGUCUUGUGGGUUCCAAGAUAAGCUGUCCUACUUGAGGUAGACUGGGUAGGAGAACCUACCAACUCAGGAAUUAUUUUUGUCUGAGAUUUUAACCUCUUCUGCUUGAGGUUUCUGGUCAAACAUAUGAACAAAGGAAACAGUAUUUAACAAAAUAUAAAGAUAACUAGUUCACAGAGAAUGACUAAAUAGAAGUGUAUCGUAUUUGUUAAACUGAGGAAUUUUAUGAUCAAAACAUUAAAAUAUUCACUAUUAACAUUUUAUUCUGGAACUGAUUAUUAGUAGUAUUUCCUAACUCUAUAUUUAACACACUGUUAUUCAAAUUUGGAGUAAUGAACAAAUGUUCCAAGUAAGAGUUACAGAAAAUUAUUUGAAUACCUUACGUUCUUUGGAUUAAAUGCUAAGAGGAAUCAACAUUUAUGUAAUAUAGGCAUUCAUUCAUACUACCAAUUUAAGCCUCAAUAGAACCCAACUUUCUCCUCUCUUAUUUAUAUGUCCCUAAAGACAGAAUAAGGUUAAGAGGAGAAAUCAACACAACCUAAACAGGAAAAGUUAAAAAAAGGAAUCAGAACAAAAUGAUUUUUGUCCCAAGACCAGACUAUUUACAUCUAACUGCACCCAUCCACCAUGGUUGGCCCCUAGGCCAGGAAUUACGGGAAAAGAGAGUAGAAGUUUAAGGCAUGUGAGAAAUCUGGGUGAAUGAAUAUUGAGAUAAUCCUAUUUUCCUUUAAAACAAUAAGAAAUGGCUGAAAACGCCUGUAAUCCCAGCACUUUAGAAGGCCAAGGCAGGUGGAUCAAUUGAAGCCAGAGUUCAAACACUAGCCUGGGCAACAUAGCAUGACCCCAUGCCUACAAAAAAUUUAAAAAUUAGCUGGGCGUAGUUGUGUACACCUACAACUAUAGCUACUCAAGAGACCUGUAUUAGCCCAGGAGCUUGACAUUACGACGAACUAUGAUCACACCGUGCACUCCAGCCUGGACAACAGAGACAGACCCUGCUUCUUAAAACAAAAGCAAAACAGCCUUUUAAGUGGUAUCUAGACAUUGAAGCUUAAAGUUAAUCACAAUUCUUUAAAGAAAUAAUUGUCUGUAUAAAAAAACUCAAGCCUGUAAUAUCAAAAAUUUUAAAUGCCAUUAAUCAUCAAGGGAGAGAACAAAAGUAAAUAUAAGGGCCGGGCACAGUGGCUUACGCAGGUAAUCCCAGCACUCUGGAAGCCCGAGGCGGGUGGGUCAUCUGAGGUCAGGAGUUCGAGACAAGC